CCUAACACAUGCAAGUCGAGCGGUAACAUGCUUAGUAGCAAUACUAAGUGAUGACGAGCGGCGGACGGGUGAGGAACACGUAGGAACCUGCCCAAAAGUGGGGGAUAACUAAGGGAAACUUUAGCUAAUACCGAAUAAUUCACUGAGGAGAAAAGUUGCCCGUAAGGGUAGCGCUUUUGGAGGGGCCUGCGUCCGAUUAGUUAGUUGGUGAGGUAAUGGCUCACCAAGACUGUGAUCGGUAACUGGUCUGAGAGGACGACCAGUCACACUGGGACUGAGACACGGCUCAGACUCCUACGGGAGGCAGCAGUGGGGAAUCUUGGACAAUGGGGGCAACCCUGAUCCAGCGAUGCCGCGUGGGUGAAGAAGGCCUUCGGGUUGUAAAGCCCUUUAGGCUGGGAAGAAGAGUGUGGGAUGAAUAAUCCUGUACUUUGACGGUACCAGCAGAAUAAGCACCGGCAAACUCUGUGCCAGCAGCCGCCGUAA
rnacentral:rRNA from 1 species